rnacentral:rRNA from 1 species
AUGUGUCCCGUGGCAGGAGACAGAUCCGCCUCGGGAUCGGUAGCGACGCAGAUGAUCGGAUCCGCCUCGGGAUCGCUAACGGCGCAGGAGAUUGGAUCGUCCUCGGGAUCAGCCACCGCAGAGGGGACAGGCGCAGGCGCACGCGCCUCUGCGCCGGACUCACGCCGCGAUGUCUCCGCGCCUGACACGCGGGCUCCUCCGAGUGGCGCGCGGUACGGUGCCCAACCAGUCACGUACAAGCGGCGGGACGCGGCACGCGCCAGGGAGGACGCGGACCCAGUGGGUCCCCCCACGAGCGGUCGGCCGACCGGUGCGCACGCAGAGGCGCGGGGCUCGGGAUUCUCUGCGCCAACCGUAGACGCGGUGCUUCAGCCAUUGGCCACAGAAGAUCCGGUCAACCCUGCGGGCGUCGAAACUGCUGCCGCGACAGGAUCCUCCUCGGGAUCAGUUGCAGCUGCAGCUGAUGAUCCUGUGCAGCUUCCUGGAUCCUCUGCGGCCACAGAUUCUGCUGCUCCACCAUCGCGACGUACACGGCUGCAACAAGGGGUAACUCAACCCGUAAAUUACAAACAUAUAACUAAAUAUGGUUUGGUCUGUUCCACAGGAGAACCAGAUGAGCCCAAAAUCCUUGAUGCAGCACUUUGUGAUGAUAAGUGGAAGGAGGCAAUGAAUGAGGAGUACAUGGCACUAAAGAAAAACAAAACAUGGCACCUGGUUCCCCCACAGCAAGGUAAAAAUUUAAUUGAUUGCAAGUGGGUUUUCAAAAUUAAGAGGAGAUCUGAUGGAACCAUUGAUCGCUAUAAGGCUAGGCUCGUUGCAAAAGGCUUCAAACAGCGAUAUGGCAUAGACUAUGAGGAUACUUUUAGUCCCGUGGUAAAAGCUGCCACUAUUCGCCUUGUCUUGUCUAUUGUUGUUUCCAGAGGUUGGAGUCUCAGGCAGCUUGAUGUACAGAACGCGUUUCUUCAUGGUGUUCUGGAAGAUGAUGUGUACAUGAAACAACCUCCUGGGUUUGAAAGUAAGAAUGCUCCCUCUUAUGUGUGCAAGCUUGAUAAAGCUCUAUAUGGAUUAAAACAAGCUCCAAGGGCGUGGUACUCUCGUCUCUGUUACAAGAUGCAAAAACUUGGAUUUGUUCCUUCUAGAUCAGACACAUCAUUAUUUAUUUAUAACAGAUCCAAUACAUGCAUAUUUGUUCUCAUCUAUGUUGAUGAUAUUAUUGUGACCAGCUCAUCCGAUGAAGCAAUCAGAGGUCUCUUAAAAGACUUGAGUGCAGAGUUUGCGUUAAAGGAUCUUGGAGACUUGCACUUCUUUCUUGGGAUUGACGUAAAGAAGCAUCAGAAUGGACUUCAUCUCUCUCAAGCAAAAUAUGCAACUGAUCUGAUUAAAAAGGCAGGAUUGCAAGGUUGCACACCCUCACUCACUCCAUUAUCCAGCUCAGAAAAAUUGUCUCUUGCAAAAGGUAAAUCUUUGAGUCAGGAAGAUAGCACAAAAUAUAGAAGCCUCGUAGGAGCUCUUCAGUAUCUAACUCUUACCAGGCCCGAUCUAUCUUUUGCUGUCAACAAAGUCUGCCAGUUUUUGCAUGCACCUACUGAUGUUCACUUGACAGCUGCCAAGCAUAUAGUCAGAUAUGUUAAACAUACUCUCAACAUAGGUCUAAAUUUCAGCAAGUCAUCUUCUACCCUUGUCGGUGCCUUUUCUGAUUCUGACUGGGCAGGAUGCCUGGAUGACAGGCGCUCAACAGGUGGUUUUGCAGUCUUUUUUGGGCCUAACUUAAUAUCAUGGUGUGCACGCAAACAUGCUACUGUAUCUAGGUCAAGCACUGAGGCAGAGUACAAAGCAUUAGCAAAUGCUACAGCUGAAAUCAUAUGGGUUCAGUUUAUGUUGAAAGAGCUUGGGGUGAAGAGUAAACAAGCUCCAUGCCUGUGGUGUGACAGCCUCGGUGCUACUUAUCUUUCUGCUAAUCCUGUGUUCCAUGCCAGAACAAAGCACAUAGAGAUAGACUUUCAUUUUGUCAGAGAGAGAGAGAGUUGCUCAAAAGCAACUUGA